AGAGUUUGAUUCUGGCUCAGAUUGAACGCUGGCGGCGUGCUUAACACAUGCAAGUCGUACGCGAAAGGGACUUCGGUCCCGAGUAAAGUGGCGCACGGGUGAGUAACACGUGGAUAAUCUGCCUCUAUGAUGGGGAUAACAGUUGGAAACGACUGCUAAUACCGAAUACGCUCAUGAUGAACUUUGUGAGGAAAGGUGGCCUCUGCUUGCAAGCUAUCGCAUAGAGAUGAGUCCGCGUCCCAUUAGCUAGUUGGUGGGGUAACGGCCUACCAAGGCAACGAUGGGUAGCCGAUCUGAGAGGAUGAUCGGCCACACUGGAACUGAAACACGGUCCAGACUCCUACGGGAGGCAGCAGUGGGGAAUAUUGCGCAAUGGGCGAAAGCCUGACGCAGCGACGCCGCGUGAGGGAUGAAGGUCUUCGGAUCGUAAACCUCUGUCAGAAGGGAAGAAACUAGGGUGCUCUAAUCAUCAUCCUACUGACGGUACCUUCAAAGGAAGCACCGGCUAACUCCGUGCCAGCAGCCGCGGUAAUACGGAGGGUGCAAGCGUUGUCCGGAAUCAUUGGGCGUAAAGAGUUCGUAGGUGGUUUGUUAAGUUUGGUGUUAAAUGCAGAGGCUCAACUUCUGUUCGGCAUCGGAUACUGGCAGACUAGAAUGCGGUAGAGGUAAAGGGAAUUCCUGGUGUAGCGGUGAAAUGCGUAGAUAUCAGGAGGAACAUCGGUGGCGUAAGCGCUUUACUGGGCCGUAAUUGACACUGAGGAACGAAAGCCAGGGUAGCAAAUGGGAUUAGAUACCCCAGUAGUCCUGGCCGUAAACGAUGGAUACUAGGUGUUGCGGGUAUCGACCCCUGCAGUGCCGUAGCAAACGCGUUAAGUAUCCCGCCUGGGGAGUACGCACGCAAGUGUGAAACUCAAAGGAAUUGACGGGGACCCGCACAAGCGGUGGAACAUGUGGUUUAAUUCGAAGCAACGCGAAGAACCUUACCAGGGCUUGACAUCUAACAAACCUUUGUGAAAGCAGAGGGUGCUCUUCGGAGAAUGUUAAGACAGGUGGUGCACGGUUGUCGUCAGCUCGUGUCGUGAGAUGUUGGGUUAAGUCCCGCAACGAGCGCAACCCUUGUGAUAUGUUACUAACAUUGAGUUGAGGACUCAUAUCAGACUGCCGGUGAUAAACCGGAGGAAGGUGGGGAUGACGUCAAAUCAUCAUGCCCCUUAUGGCCUGGGCUACACACGUACUACAAUGGCGUCUACAAAGAGCGGCAAGCCUGUGAAGGCAAGCGAAUCUCAUAAAGGACGUCUCAGUUCGGAUUGAAGUCUGCAACCCGACUUCAUGAAGCUGGAAUCGCUAGUAAUCGCGAAUCAGCAUGUCGCGGUGAAUACGUUCUCGGGCCUUGUACACACCGCCCGUCAAACCAUGGGAGUUGGUAAUGCCCGAAGCCGGUGGCAUAACCCUUCGGGGAGUGAGCCGUCGAAGGCAGGACCGAUGACUGGGGUUAAGUCGUAACAAGGUAUCCCUACGGGAACGUGGGGAUG
rnacentral:rRNA from 1 species